GCGUCGAGUGGCGGACGGGUGAGUAACGCGUAGGAAUCUGCCAGAUAGUGGGGGAUAGCCCGGAGAAAUCCGGAUUAAUACCGCAUAAUCUCCAUGGAGUAAAGAGGGCCUCUAUUUAUAAGCUUUCGCUAUCUGAUGAGCCUGCGUAAGAUUAGCUAGUUGGUGGGGUAAUGGCCUACCAAGGCGACGAUCUUUAGCUGGUCUGAGAGGAUGAUCAGCCACACUGGGACUGAGACACGGCCCAGACUCCUACGGGAGGCAGCAGUGGGGAAUAUUGGACAAUGGGGGCAACCCUGAUCCAGCAAUACCGCGUGUGUGAAGAAGGCCUGAGGGUUGUAAAGCACUUUCAAUUGUGAAGAAAAGUUAAUAGUUAAUACCUAUUAGCCUUGACGUUAACUUUAGAAGAAGCACCGGCUAACUCCGUGCCAGCAGCCGCGGUAAUACGGAGGGUGCAAGCGUUAAUCGGAAUUACUGGGCGUAAAGCGUGCGUAGGCGGUUGACUAAGUCAGAUGUGAAAGCCCCGGGCUUAACCUGGGAACUGCAUUUGAAACUGGUCAACUAGAGUAUGGUAGAGGAAAGUGGAAUUUCUGGUGUAGCGGUGAAAUGCGUAGAUAUCAGAAGGAACAUCGAUGGCGAAGGCAGCUUUCUGGACCAAUACUGACGCUGAGGUACGAAAGCGUGGGGUAGCAAACAGGAUUAGAUAC
rnacentral:rRNA from 1 species